GAUGAACGCUGGCGGCGUGCCUAAUACAUGCAAGUCGAGCGAAUGGAUUAAGAGCUUGCUCUUAUGAAGUUAGCGGCGGACGGGUGAGUAACACGUGGGUAACCUGCCCAUAAGACUGGGAUAACUCCGGGAAACCGGGGCUAAUACCGGAUAACAUUUUGAACCGCAUGGUUCGAAAUUGAAAGGCGGCUUCGGCUGUCACUUAUGGAUGGACCCGCGUCGCAUUAGCUAGUUGGUGAGGUAACGGCUAACCAAGGCAACGAUGCGUAGCCGACCUGAGAGGGUGAUCGGCCACACUGGGACUGAGACACGGCCCAGACUCCUACGGGAGGCAGCAGUAGGGAAUCUUCCGCAAUGGACGAAAGUCUGACGGAGCAACGCCGCGUGAGUGAUGAAGGCUUUCGGGUCGUAAAACCCUGUUGUUAGGGAAGAACAAGUGCUAGUUGAAUAAGCUGGCACCUUGACGGUACCUAACCAGAAAGCCACGGCUAACUACGUGCCAGCAGCCGCAGUAA
rnacentral:rRNA from 1 species